GGAAUUGACGGGACCCGCACAAGCGGUGGAUGAUGUGGUUUAAUUCGAUGCAACGCGAAAACCUUACCCACCUUUGACAUGUACGGAAUCCUUUAGAGAUAGAGGGUGCUCGAAAGAGAGCCGUAACACAGGUGCUGCAUGGCUGUCGUCAGCUCGUGUCGUGAGAUGUUGGGUUAAGUCCCGCAACGAGCGCAACCCUUGUCAUUAGUUGCUACAUUUGGUUGGGCACUCUAAUGAGACUGCCGGUGACAAGCCGGAGGAAGGUGGGGAUGACGUCAAGUCCUCAUGGCCCUUAUAGGUGGGGCUACACACGUCAUACAAUGGCUGGUACAAAGGGUUGCCAACCCGCGAGGGGGAGCUAAUCCCACAAAGCCAGUCGUAGUCCGGAUCGUAGUCUGCAACUCGACUACGUGAAGUCGGAAUCGCUAGUAAUCGUGGAUCAGAAUGUCACGGUGAAUACGUUCCCGGGUCUU
rnacentral:rRNA from 1 species